rnacentral:lncRNA from 1 species
UCUCCAGCCAUAGGAGAGAUGGCUCAGCAGUUAAGAGCGUGAACUGUUCUUCCAGAGGACUGACUGGAGUUUGGUUUCUAACACCCAAAUCAGGUGGCUGACAACCUCUUGUAGUUCUAACUCCAAGGAGCCCACUCCCAUUUACAGUUGCCCUGGUCAUCUAUACAUUCGGCCGAUACACAGAUACCUAAGUAAUUUGUGUGUUGCUGCCAGGGGAGGCCAGAAGUCCACAGUGCUCUCAACUGCUAACUCACCACUCUGUCCCUACUUAUGAGACUUUAACAUCUAAUAAUCCUGGGAUAGUUAGUUUCAGAACUAAAACAUUCUCUUCAAAGCACAGGGUUGGCAGUGUGGACCAGUGGUUGAAUAUUCAGCUUGUGUGAAGUCUUGAUUUGAUUUGAUUUCCAGCACCACAAAAAAGAAAAAAAAAAGUAGAUAGGUACAAAAUAGAAAUGGGAAACUCAGGUUGUCUCCACAGAUUUAUAAAACUGCCCUCAGCUGUUCUUGUUUCUGUCACUCAGUGGAGCUUCAUGACACCCGGGAAGCAGCGGGAGGACAGCUCAGCAGUGCCUGUGUCUGGAGAGGCUGCAGCAGCGGGAAGAGUGAUCCCAGGACCCUCAAAGUAUCUGGCCUUGAGGCACAACAGGUUCCACCCAAGGGACUGACUGUCCAGCCAGUGGCCUGGAGCUCCAAGCUGUGGUCACAGGCAGUCACAGGGCCCGGUGACCUGUCUCGAGCAGCAUGCUCUCCAGCUGCAGCUUGCUGUUGCUCUCUAUGUAGGGCUGGUGCAGCCACAUGGACAGGUUCGAUAUUCCCCUUGGCUUAACCUCC